UAGUCAGCUACAAUGCCUAUACAAUGUGGUCGCUGAAGCCUUCGAGAGAGAAGGAGACUUGAAACAAAUGGAAUAUUUAUUAAGGCUACUGCAAUCAGAGAGAAUAAAACAAAGAUGUGUUCACCUUUGUCAUUUUAUAAGGAUUUAUGACAUAUAAGUGACUUUGAAGGGUACUUCUCAAAACUUUAUGCUAAUCUCAGAUUAGUCUAUAAAUGAUAAACUGUACAAAUGAUUUAUUAACUUUUUAUGCCUGGUUUGUCAUUUCUUGACAUCCGUUUCAACUCUUUCUCCGGUUCAAUCCCACCACAAAUCUUUGGUCAGAACCUCGACGUUCUCUUCAUUAAUGACAACACCUUUACUGCGAGCCUCCCGGAGAUACCUGGCGAUAGUCACAUCCUUUUUCUAACUUUAGCAGACAAUAAGUUCAACGGUCCUCUCCCGAGAAGCAUCCUAAGAUCUAUGACAACGUUAACCGAGGUACUUUUCUUGAAUAACGACUUUACGGGUUGUAUCCCUUACGAAAUCGGGUUACUCAAGGGAGCAUCAGUUAUCGAUAUCAGUGGAAAUAAGCUCACAGGUCCUUUACCCCUUUCACUUAUGUGUCUAGAGAAAGUGGAGCAGCUCAACUUUGCUGGGAAUCUCUUGUUUGGGGCAAUCCCAGAUGCAGUGUGCAUGUUCCUCCGAGAGAAUCUUGUCAACUUUUCCUUGUCUGAUAACUAUUUCACACACGUGGGGCCAUGGUGUAAGAUUUUGGUUGAAAGAGGUGUUCUUGAUGUUAGGAAUAACUGUAUUCCUUUCUUCCCAGGACAAAGAUCUAUUGAAGAAUGUGCGGAGUUCUUUGUCAAACCUAAUUACUACUGUCCUCACGCAUGGUUUCAUAGUUUUCUUCCUUGUAGAUAUUCUCACAUAUCUUCUUCCUCUGCUAGUGAUUUUAUGCCCAUGGUGGCUCCCUCACCUUGAUGUUCAUCAUCAUAUAUAUCAGCGUGUUUGUUCUCUUCAUUGUAAUGAAAAUAAUCGAAUUAUGUUUCCACCAACAAAAUCAUGGUAAGAGAAGGCCAAGAGUGGUGUUGUGUUGGGAAUACAAGUAUAAUCUUGUAUUUGUUAACUAGUAUAUGAUUUCCAUGUCCAUUAAUGAAUGUGUCAAUGCCAUUUGCGUAUAGUAGUCACGAUUCGUGAUACAAAGAAAAUUCUAUUGUUUUUAUGGUUAAAUAAGACGAAUUGAUAGUUGAGUUAAUUAAAAGCAAUGCCACAGUGUUUGCCUGUAUUAAUAAAUUGAUGAUUAUAAGUACAAAAAGUGUUAUAUUAAUACGUAGACUUAUAUAGAGAUAAAAAAGAAAAAAUAUAUAUAUAGUGAGUUUGUUUGAAUGUACACCGUAGGGAUAGCGAUAACGAUAUAAUUGCGAGUAAUGUAAUAAUGUAAGUGGUCCUACUCAUGGUCUAUCAUAUAAAAUUAUAAAUCAUGUGAAUGGGCAUUUUUCCUCCACGUCUAUUGCAUUUGAUGGGUUAAAUGUACCAAAGAUAAAGAGGGGUGACCAAAGGUGACCCCUUCCUACCAAACCCAUUAACAUUUUUCGUCAACUAAUCAUUUAUAAUUUUCUUUUUCCAAUCACAAUAGACUGCAUCCAGCUAAGAAAAGGCAACCCGCAGCUACGAAAUAACAUUUAACUUACCUAUCUAUCUAUAUAUAAUACUCCAUCCGUUUUUCAAUCCGUUUUUCAAUAUAAGUCGUUUUAAAGAAACUUUUUUGUUCCAAAUUAUGUCGUUUUUGGUUUUCUAUGUAACAUUUAUUAAUAAUUAAUGUUGUCUGACCAAUGAUAAUAUAUCUUCUAUUUUUCUAUUGGUUAAAUUGUGGUUUGGUAAAUAAUUAAUGAUGUUUUUGUUUUGAAAAUAUAAAAAAUUAAUGAUUUUCUUAAUCUAUGUGCAUAGCUUUAAAACGACUUAUAUUAAAAAACGGAAGGAGUAAUAAAGAGGGGUUUUCUCUCACCACAGGCUGCCAGAUCAGCAAGGAGGAGGUAGCGUUUUUGGACAGGUGUAGCCUCAGCAAACCAACUAUAUAUGUGUAAUUCCGGUCUUAUUCGAACUGGACUUUUAUUAAAAUUUGUUAUUAAGCCCAAUAUUAUGUUAAGCCCGCGUAUUAUUAGCUAUCUUACUUCCCUGACACAAUUUCCAGAAACUUAAAUCGACGUUCAGAUCUCCGUAUCGCCUCAGCUUUCCAUUAAUCUGUUCUUAACUCAGAGUUUUUGCGUGAUCCACUCCUCUCACUGGAAGCUUUCAAUCGAUCCAGAAACAUAUUUUGUUCUAGGGACGAUGGCGACCAGCUUUCAGCCGGUCGAGUUCUUCGCAGCUGGUGGUCACGCUUUCGUUUUCACGGAGGCACCUAAUCUAUAUUAAUAAGAAGGGAGCUAAUGGGUUGAUAUCCUCCUCAAUGAUGAAAAGAUUGUCCUCCUCAUCUUCCCUCGCCUUCCUUUUCCAAUAUAAACUGCCAUCACCUAUUAUCUUAACCAUAAUAUAUUUAAUUUUAUUGAGUGCUUUUUAUAUUUAUGGUUAAUUAUAGGUUUGGAAAUUUCAUAGAGGUAUUCCAAAUUUCACAGAGAUUCAGUCCCAUAUGUUCCGUUUGAUUUGGGUCUAUGACUUUUAAAUUUUUUGUUUUUGUUAAGGAAAAGGGAUGAUGAUAGACGCGCUGCUUCUGCUGUUGCCAAAUUGAUGAUAGACGCGCUGCCUCAGAGCGUGCUGCCAAAUUGAUGAUAGACGCGCUGCUUCUGCUGUUCCUGGCUCUCGCAAGACGGUGACUUGAGGCUGCGCAAGCUCAGGUUUGGCUCCUUUGAAAUCUGUGUGUUCUUUGGUCGUUUAUAUUUUCAGUGCGUUAAGGUGUUAGCUUCUGCUUCUUGAUUAGUUUUAAACAAAGUGUGGAGUAUGUUACAACAAUCAAGCAGAAAAAUUCAAGGUAGACCGAAAGUUAGAUUCUUUGAUGUGUGAAUCUGUGGCUAUGAUGUAUUAAAACAUUUUGGUUUGCAGGAACAAAUUGUUACCAUGAAGUUAAGAUCGUAUGGAUAGUUGGAAUCUCCUAUAGUUGGAACCUCCUUUGCAGCUGAAGAAUAAGCCUGUCGCUUCAAGUUUCUUACACACAGCUCCUCAUCAUGGGAACUUCGUAGACUCUGCUUCUGGUGGUUAAAGUUUUCAUUCAUAAACAUCGGAAUAACAAAGGAAAAUUUUGACUUUUGAGAUUCAGGUUCCAUGAGCACUAAAGUUUGGUUUUGGAUAGGGAGUUUAGGUAAGACGUUCCUGACUCUUGAUCGACGCACAUGGAAAGUCACUGCAGACGUAGCUGAAGGCGACACUGACGAUAUCAACCAGGCGGUGAAAGCUGCAAGGAAGACCAUUGAUGUGGACCUUGGCCAAAAGAUGACCGCUUAUGUGUAAUAUUAUAUAUUGUUCUCGAGUAUUGAAAGUUAUGAAAUUAAUGUGAUAUGGACUUAUCUUUGUUUUGUUUUCAGGAAAGGUGAAGGACAAUGUUGAGAUUCAUGGGACAAUGGGAAGACCUAUGAACAAGCAAAAAAAGCAGAGAUUCUAGUGCUUGCCAGAUUGUUUCACUCCUAUGCUGGUAUACCACACAAAAAUCUUGAGAAUAUUAUAAAAGUUUCUUGCUUUUAUUAGUAAGUUUGCUUUGAUGUGUAGGAUGUGCGGAUAAGAUUCAUGGACUAAUUAACAGUUCCAGUUGAUGGAAACUAUCAUGUCCAGACACUGCAUGAACCAAAAGGUGUUGCUGGACAGAUCAUUUCAUGGAACUUUCCGCUUCUUAUGGUUGCUUGGAAAGUUGGUCUUUCUCUUUCUUGUGGUAAAACCAUUGUCCUCAAAACCGCCGAACAAACUCCCCUCACUGCUUUUUACGGAAAGCUUUUCCUUGAAGUAAUCAAUGUUCCUUUCACCUGCUACUUACCAUUCUUGCUACUAAAAUAAAAAGCUGUAAGUAAACAAUGUUUCUUGAAAUGUAUGAUAGGCAGGUCUUCCUCUUGGUGUUAUAAACAUAGUUUCUGAAUUUGGUCCAAUCGCAGGGACUUUCCUCACGAGCCUCAUGGGUUUGGCUCUUACCAAAUUUUCUAAGUACAUCUUCACUUUUUGUUCUGGCGUAUAUGUGUCUUCUUUUAUUGUUUGUUUCUCUUUAAUUAAGAAAAGUAGGGAUUGGCUAUAAGCUCUAGCUGUGUGGUUGAUUCAGAACAAUGAUUGGCACGCGCUGUAUCCUUUGACUUAUUUUUUUUUCUUUUUCUUAAUCGCAUCUCACCAUAUUUUUCCUCUCUUUUGCUUAAUCGCACGGUACCAUACUCAAUUUUGCUCUCGAUUGUUGUCAGGUUAAUAUAAUAGAUACUCGACUCAUCACUGAAGUUGAGGGAGGGAAGUCUCUUAGAAAACCAACAUAUAGAAGCUAUAUCAGUUUAGAGAAACAGGGAAGAAGCAAGAGAGGAGAGAUGCACAUACAUAGCCAAGAAGAUGCAAGAACUUAACAAAGAGCAGAGGAGGAAAAGUCACUAGCUUUAGCUGCUCAAGCGGAGCUCAGAAACGCGAAGGAAGAGUCAGGUUAAGCGAAGACAGGAGUCUCUUCAAUAGAAAGUCAAUUGAGGCGGAAAGGGAAAUGAGUGGGGUGAUGGAAUUCAUGGACCAUAGUCAGCUACAAUGCCUAUACAAUGUGGUCGCUGAAGCCUUCGAGAGAGAAGGAGACUUGAAACAAAUGGAAUAUUUAUUAAGGCUACUGCAAUCAGAGAGAAUAAAACAAAGAUGUGUUCACCUUUGUCAUUUUAUAAGGAUUUAUGACAUAUAAGUGACUUUGAAGGGUACUUCUCAAAACUUUAUGCUAAUCUCAGAUUAGUCUAUAAAUGAUAAACUGUACAAAUGAUUUAUU
rnacentral:lncRNA from 1 species